GGGCUUAUAGCGCAGUGGUAGCGCGCCCGCUUUGCAUGCGGGAGGUCUAGGGUUCGAUCCCCUAUUGGUCCA